rnacentral:rRNA from 1 species
UACGUAGGGUGCAAGCGUUGUCCGGAAUUAUUGGGCGUAAAGAGCUCGUAGGCGGUUUGUCGCGUCUGCUGUGAAAACCCGAGGCUCAACCUCGGGCCUGCAGUGGGUACGGGCAGACUAGAGUGCGGUAGGGGAGAUUGGAAUUCCUGGUGUAGCGGUGGAAUGCGCAGAUAUCAGGAGGAACACCGGUGGUGCAAACGGCUUUCUGGACCGUAACUGACGCUGAGACACGAAAGCGUGGGGAGCAAACAGG